CCGGCUGCGUCCCCGCCUUUCUGCGCAGACGCUUCUCCUCUCGUGCCUGGUCGCGCCCUUUGCGCCUGCCCUUACUUGCCUCAGGUUUCACCACUCACCCACCAACACACCAGUAGCGUCCACAUCAUCAACACUAAACCCAUCAGUUGUCACCACUCCAAAAUCUGCCAACCCAGCAUGGAAGGCGGCGGCACCCGGGUUCUGGCCAGCGACAGAGCCCAUGCACAGACCACGAUUGCCAUCCACACCACGCUGCGUUGCGCAAAGUAAAGGCCAGCCGCCGGCGACUGCGAGCAGGACACAUCAGCCUCUCCCAGCCGCCAAGGCGUACAUGGCGCCAAACAACCCGACGUGCGCCAGAGCCACAUUCGGGGGCUCCCGCGUCGGGGGCCGCCGCCAAUGCUUUUUAACACACCGCGGUCUUCAGUGUACAGGUAUCAGGACUGGACGCUGCGCGCCAUGUCGCCUGUCAGCAAGCAACACGUCAGCCAGCGCCGGUCUUGGGCCGGCCGAGCAAACGGCGGCCAGGCCAUUUACAGGCGGGCCAGGUCGUUCUGCCAGACGGUGGUCGACCAGGGGUCAGCCAGGUGGGUCGACAGGUUCUUAAGGGGGGUGGUGCCGGUGGUGUAAGCCUGCAGGCAGAGCAACACAAGAAGGCGCGGAACGCGUCAGAAAAUUCAAUUCUGAAGUGCAGCCGUCAUCCGUGAUGUCGACCAUAACACGUGACCGACCAUACACAGUAAGCUCACAGAGCGCACACCGCAUGAGCCAUGUAGUCACCACGCUGCAUGCCAGGACCCAGAGUAUACCAACCGCCUGCUAUCCGAGACACC
rnacentral:lncRNA from 1 species